GAUGAACGCUGGCGGCGUGCCUAAUACAUGCAAGUCGAGCGAACAGACGAGGAGCUUGCUCCUCUGACGUUAGCGGCGGACGGGUGAGUAACACGUGGAUAACCUACCUAUAAGACUGGGAUAACUUCGGGAAAACGGAGCUAAUACCGGAUAAUAUAUUGAACCGCAUGGUUCAAUAGUGAAAGACGGUUUUGCUGUCACUUAUAGAAGGAUCCGCGCCGCAUUAGCUAGUUGGUAAGGUAACGGCUUACCAAGGCGACGAUGCGUAGCCGACCUGAGAGGGUGAUCGGCCACACUGGAACUGAGACACGGUCCAGACUCCUACGGGAGGCAGCAGUAGGGAAUCUUCCGCAAUGGGCGAAAGCCUGACGGAGCAACGCCGCGUGAGUGAUGAAGGUCUUCGGAUCGUAAAACUCUGUUAUUAGGGAAGAACAAAUGUGUAAGUAACUAUGCACGUCUUGACGGUACCUAAUCAGAAAGCCACGGCUAACUACGUG
rnacentral:rRNA from 1 species